rnacentral:lncRNA from 1 species
CAGCCGACUGCCCACCCCUUCCCAGACCACCUGGUAAAUCUGCUUCUACUCCAAAGCCUCAGACCCAGUGACGAGGACAAGAGGGUGGGAGGGCACCGGAGUACCCGCUCUUUCACCCGCACAGUUCCUCCCUCCCCUCUUGGAUCUCCACUGUGGUCCCCAUCCCCUGGAAGGAGCCCUUUCAACAACAACCGGAAUGCGACACUCUUCCUCGCCUAGAAAAACAACCAAAUAUAAAGCAGAGGACCACCUUUUCAAUCUGCUCCUUAAACUCCAACAACCCAGAACGGGACGGUCUCUCGAUUCCCUUCCUUGGUUCUGCUUCGUCUCACACUCCGCCCAUUUCAGGCCCCUCAGGCGUGCCUUGACCACCCCAGGCCUGACCCGACGCUACCCUUUGGUUUUGCAGGCGGCCGACCAGGCCUUCUGAACUUUGCCCAGGCGAGAAGGGUACGUGCAAGGCCCGUUCCCCUGAUGCUGAAGAAGGCUAAUGGAAGACUGACCUCGCGCAAAACCACGCGGCCCUAGUCCCAGCUCUGGUUCCGGGCAGUUAAAGUAAAACUCUAUCAAACUUCA